rnacentral:rRNA from 1 species
GGGUUAGUCGGGACCUAAGCUGAGGCCGAAAGGCGUAGGUGAUGGACAACAGGUUGAUAUUCCUGUACUACCGAUAACCGGUUGAGAGAAGGGAUGACACAGUAGGAUAAGCUAAGCACACUGUUGGGUAUGUGUGCCCAAGCAUUGAGGCAGUCAAAGUAGGCAAAUCCGCUUUGAUAAUGCUGGGAUGUGAUGGGGAGCGAAAUUU